rfam:Ixodes scapularis strain Wikel colony gcontig_1108378661782, whole genome shotgun sequence.
CCUUGGUUAGUUCAGUUGGUAGAGAACUCCACUGGAAAUGGAGAGGUCCCGGGUUUCAUACCCGGACCAGGCG